rnacentral:rRNA from 1 species
AGCGAACGUUAGCGGCGGGCCUAACACAUGCAAGUCGAACGCGAAAGGUCUUCGGACUGAGUAGAGUGGCGCACGGGUGAGUAACACGUAGGUAAUCUACCCUUUGGCGGGGGAUAACGUUUCGAAAGGAGCGCUAAUACCGCAUAAGACCACGGAGUCUCCGGACGCUGUGGGAAAAGGUGGCCUCUUCUUGAAAGCUACCACCGAAGGAUGAGCCUGCGUCCCAUCAGCUAGUUGGUAAGGUAAUGGCUUACCAAGGCGAAGACGGGUAGCUGGUUUGAGAGAAUGAUCAGCCACACUGGCACUGGAACACGGGCCAGACUCCUACGGGAGGCAGCAGUGGGGAAUAUUGCGCAAUGGGCGAAAGCCUGACGCAGCCACGCCGCGUGAGCGAUGAAGGCCUUCGGUCGGU